rnacentral:rRNA from 1 species
GUGAGGAAUAUUGGUCAAUGGGCGGGAGCCUGAACCAGCCAAGUCGCGUGAAGGAAGAAGGAUCUAUGGUUCGUAAACUUCUUUUGCAGGGGAAUAAAGUGCAGGACGUGUCCUGUUUUGUAUGUACCCUGAGAAUAAGGAUCGGCUAACUCCGUGCCAGCAGCCGCGGUAAUACGGAGGAUCCGAGCGUUAUCCGGAUUUAUUGGGUUUAAAGGGUGCGUAGGUGGUUUGAUAAGUCAGCGGUGAAAGUUUGCAGAUUAACUGUAAAAAUGCCGUUGAAACUGUCGGACUUGAGUGUAAAUGAGGUAGGCGGAAUGCGUGGUGUAGCGGUGAAAUGCAUAGAUAUCACGCAGAACUCCGAUUGCGAAGGCAGCUUACUAAGCUACAACUGACACUGAAGCACGAAAGCGUGGGGAUCAAACAGGAUUAGAUACCCGUGUAGUCC